UUAAGCGACUAAGCGUACACGGUGGAUGCCCUGGCAGUCAGAGGCGAUGAAGGACGUGCUAAUCUGCGAUAAGCGUCGGUAAGGUGAUAUGAACCGUUAUAACCGGCGAUUUCCGAAUGGGGAAACCCAGUGUGUUUCGACACACUAUCAUUAACUGAAUCCAUAGGUUAAUGAGGCGAACCGGGGGAACUGAAACAUCUAAGUACCCCGAGGAAAAGAAAUCAACCGAGAUUCCCCCAGUAGCGGCGAGCGAACGGGGAGCAGCCCAGAGCCUGAAUCAGUGUGUGUGUUAGUGGAAGCGUCUGGAAAGGCGUGCGAUACAGGGUGACAGCCCCGUACACAAAAAUGCACAUGCUGUGAGCUCGAUGAGUAGGGCGGGACACGUGGUAUCCUGUCUGAAUAUGGGGGGACCAUCCUCCAAGGCUAAAUACUCCUGACUGACCGAUAGUGAACCAGUACCGUGAGGGAAAGGCGAAAAGAACCCCGGCGAGGGGAGUGAAAAAGAACCUGAAACCGUGUACGUACAAGCAGUGGGAGCACGCUUAGGCGUGUGACUGCGUACCUUUUGUAUAAUGGGUCAGCGACUUAUAUUCUGUAGCAAGGUUAACCGAAUAGGGGAGCCGAAGGGAAACCGAGUCUUAACUGGGCGUUAAGUUGCAGGGUAUAGACCCGAAACCCGGUGAUCUAGCCAUGGGCAGGUUGAAGGUUGGGUAACACUAACUGGAGGACCGAACCGACUAAUGUUGAAAAAUUAGCGGAUGACUUGUGGCUGGGGGUGAAAGGCCAAUCAAACCGGAAGAUAGCUGGUUCUCCCCGAAAGCUAUUUAGGUAGCGCCUCGUGAAUUCAUCUCCGGGGGUAGAGCACUGUUUCGGCAAGGGGGUCAUCCCGACUUACCAACCCGAUGCAAACUGCGAAUACCGGAGAAUGUUAUCACGGGAGACACACGGCGGGUGCUAACGUCCGUCGUGAAGAGGGAAACAACCCAGACCGCCAGCUAAGGUCCCAAAGUCAUGGUUAAGUGGGAAACGAUGUGGGAAGGCCCAGACAGCCAGGAUGUUGGCUUAGAAGCAGCCAUCAUUUAAAGAAAGCGUAAUAGCUCACUGGUCGAGUCGGCCUGCGCGGAAGAUGUAACGGGGCUAAACCAUGCACCGAAGCUGCGGCAGCGACGCUUAUGCGUUGUUGGGUAGGGGAGCGUUCUGUAAGCCUGCGAAGGUGUGCUGUGAGGCAUGCUGGAGGUAUCAGAAGUGCGAAUGCUGACAUAAGUAACGAUAAAGCGGGUGAAAAGCCCGCUCGCCGGAAGACCAAGGGUUCCUGUCCAACGUUAAUCGGGGCAGGGUGAGUCGACCCCUAAGGCGAGGCCGAAAGGCGUAGUCGAUGGGAAACAGGUUAAUAUUCCUGUACUUGGUGUUACUGCGAAGGGGGGACGGAGAAGGCUAUGUUGGCCGGGCGACGGUUGUCCCGGUUUAAGCGUGUAGGCUGGUUUUCCAGGCAAAUCCGGAAAAUCAAGGCUGAGGUGUGAUGACGAGGCACUACGGUGCUGAAGCAACAAAUGCCCUGCUUCCAGGAAAAGCCUCUAAGCAUCAGGUAACAUCAAAUCGUACCCCAAACCGACACAGGUGGUCAGGUAGAGAAUACCAAGGCGCUUGAGAGAACUCGGGUGAAGGAACUAGGCAAAAUGGUGCCGUAACUUCGGGAGAAGGCACGCUGAUAUGUAGGUGAAGUCCCUCGCGGAUGGAGCUGAAAUCAGUCGAAGAUACCAGCUGGCUGCAACUGUUUAUUAAAAACACAGCACUGUGCAAACACGAAAGUGGACGUAUACGGUGUGACGCCUGCCCGGUGCCGGAAGGUUAAUUGAUGGGGUUAGCGCAAGCGAAGCUCUUGAUCGAAGCCCCGGUAAACGGCGGCCGUAACUAUAACGGUCCUAAGGUAGCGAAAUUCCUUGUCGGGUAAGUUCCGACCUGCACGAAUGGCGUAAUGAUGGCCAGGCUGUCUCCACCCGAGACUCAGUGAAAUUGAACUCGCUGUGAAGAUGCAGUGUACCCGCGGCAAGACGGAAAGACCCCGUGAACCUUUACUAUAGCUUGACACUGAACAUUGAGCCUUGAUGUGUAGGAUAGGUGGGAGGCUUAGAAGUGUGGACGCCAGUCUGCAUGGAGCCGACCUUGAAAUACCACCCUUUAAUGUUUGAUGUUCUAACGUUGACCCGUAAUCCGGGUUGCGGACAGUGUCUGGUGGGUAGUUUGACUGGGGCGGUCUCCUCCUAAAGAGUAACGGAGGAGCACGAAGGUUGGCUAAUCCUGGUCGGACAUCAGGAGGUUAGUGCAAUGGCAUAAGCCAGCUUGACUGCGAGCGUGACGGCGCGAGCAGGUGCGAAAGCAGGUCAUAGUGAUCCGGUGGUUCUGAAUGGAAGGGCCAUCGCUCAACGGAUAAAAGGUACUCCGGGGAUAACAGGCUGAUACCGCCCAAGAGUUCAUAUCGACGGCGGUGUUUGGCACCUCGAUGUCGGCUCAUCACAUCCUGGGGCUGAAGUAGGUCCCAAGGGUAUGGCUGUUCGCCAUUUAAAGUGGUACGCGAGCUGGGUUUAGAACGUCGUGAGACAGUUCGGUCCCUAUCUGCCGUGGGCGCUGGAGAACUGAGGGGGGCUGCUCCUAGUACGAGAGGACCGGAGUGGACGCAUCACUGGUGUUCGGGUUGUCAUGCCAAUGGCACUGCCCGGUAGCUAAAUGCGGAAGAGAUAAGUGCUGAAAGCAUCUAAGCACGAAACUUGCCCCGAGAUGAGUUCUCCCUGACCCUUUAAGGGUCCUGAAGGAACGUUGAAGACGACGACGUUGAUAGGCCGGGUGUGUAAGCGCAGCGAUGCGUUGAGCUAACCGGUACUAAUGAACCGUGAGGCUUAACCUU
rnacentral:rRNA from 1 species